GCGAGUGCGUGGCGAGGGGCAGCGGGAGUACGGAGGGGGCAAGGGUGGUCCGGUGUUAGUGGGCGGAAAGGGGGUGGAGGUGGCCAGACAGGUCAGCUGUGAAAACUCGAGGGUCAACCUCGAGACGUCGGUUGAAACCGGCUGGCUAGAGUCCGGAAGAGGAGAGUGGAAUUCCCGGUGUAGCGGUGAAAUGCGCAGAUAUCGGGAAGAACACCCGUGGCGAAGGCGGCUCUCUGGGACGGUACUGACGCUGAGACGCGAAAGCGUGGGGAGCGAACAGGAUUAGAUACCCGAGUAGUC
rnacentral:rRNA from 1 species